AUCAUUCUGACUGCUGCUCCAGCUUAAGUCAGGAACUAUACCAUAUUUGUACAGUGCAGUUAUAUGUUCACUUGGGAUUUUUUUUUUUUGCUUUGGUCGCCAGUUACUGGUUAUGGGCAAUUGCUCUAUUUUUUUCCAUUACCCCCAGAGAAUUGGCGAAUGUUGUUUGUUAACUUGCUCGUUGCCCAGACGUUUCAAAGGUUGAAUAUUUAAGUUGUAACAGAUGUUGCAACUAUUUAUCCAUAAAAUCACGAAAUACCGAAUAACUUUCGAAUUAACAUCACAAUCGAACGAGCGCUUUUCAUGUCAAUAAAAAGUGCUUCUGCUGUCGAUUUCAUAAACAAUGACGUCUAAUAACUGAAGAUCCGGGACAAAAUCUCUAGGUUAUCAUUAAUCAAUAUUUAUUUUUCUUUUAAAAAAACGUUAUCCUUUGUACAGAAAAAGAGAGAGAGAAAACAAAAAGUUGGAUUCAACUAGAAUUUGCUGACUCGUCAAGAGUCGGUUAAAACUCUAAACUGAGCCAACUGCAAGGAAAAUAUGCAACUUGGACUUCUUCCCUAGCAAGCAAGUUGGAAAAAGUUGUUGGGGGAAUUUGUGUUCACUGGGUCAGCGCGGCCUGUGCUGCUGGCGCUGGUUGAGUGAUACCGGGUAGUGCGAGGGGAGCGUCACCGGGGGCACGGGCUUAGUGUUACCGGCAGCACCGGGAGAGAUGGGGGGGGGCGAAGGGACUGUCGCCGAGGCCGUGAGCGGAGCGUUAGCUACAGCACCGGGGGCGUGAGCUGAGGUUCACCGAGCGAAGAAAAAUCCCAGCGACAAAACGCUCUGACAGGAAUCUUACAUGGCAACCGCAGCCACUUCCGGCAGCGCGACACGGAGCGCCCCCCGCCGGCAGGAAGCUGGAGGCGGCCGGUCAGUCCUCCCAACACAGCGCCAUCCGGCGGUCAGUGCUAGCGCCGCACGCCAGCUGGAGGCGGCAGGUCAGUCCUCCCAACACAGCCCCACCCGUCGGCCAGUCCUCAAACCACAGCCCCACCCGCCGGCAGGAGGCGUCCGGUCAGAUCUCCCCGCCACAGUGCCACCUGCCGGCUGGAGGCGGCCGUUCAGUCCUCUCACCACAGCGCCACCUGCCCGACAGGUCCUCCGGCCACAGCACCACCCGCCCGACCGGUCAGUCCUCCCAACACAGCGCCAUCUACCGCACCGGCAUAGUGCGGGUCCCAGGCCUGCUGCCACCUGCUGCUCCAGAGGAGUGAGACUCCUCUAUUUCCUUCAGUUUACUUUAUUGUCAGGUGUACUGAGAAAAAAAGCUGCCACUUUCGGCUGUGAUUUUUGGCCAUCAUACUCAGAGUCCCCCUCCGCUGUGCAGGACAAGAGGAUUUUUCCCAUCGAUGAAAAAUAAAAGAGUUAAUGUUUAAAAAAUGUUGAGAUUCUCUCUGCUGCCCCUGCUGGUGUGUGGGGGGAGGAACUAUAAAACCUGGAAGUGUUGUGCCUCAGUCAGUCUCUGCAAGGUGGGGGAACGUGAGAGGGUCACAUCUCGCAGUCUGAGCUGUGAAUGACACUGAACACAUGUCUACUAAAUUGUGAGUGUGGUUUUACCGAUCUUGAGUGCCCUUAAUGUGGUUUGAAAAUGAAAAUGUGGUUGGGUUGAAGUUAAAGCACUGCAAAUGGUUCGGGGAUUGAGUUGAAGUUAAAGCACUGCAAAUGGUUGGUGGGGGGUUUGGGUUCAAGUUCAAGCACUGCAAACGGUUGGUGAUGGGUUUGGGUUGAAGUUAAAGCACUGCAAAUGGUUGGAAGUCUAAACUUGACAACUUCCUGUUUGCACUGUAUAUUGAUAUUAGAUAAAACGUUACCACUUACGGCUGUGAUUUUUGACCAUCUUACUCAUCAGGUGCAGAGGAUUCUUCCCAUCAAUGAAAAAUAAAAGUGUUAUUUGUGCUUAAAAAAUGUUGAGAAUCUCUCUCCUGUCAAUCACGCCAUGAAGGCCACAACUUUUCCGGUGGGAGGGGGGAGGGAUUAUAAAACCCGGAAGUGUGGGUGUGGCUCAGUCUCUGCAUGAUGGGGGAGGGAGAGGACACGACUUUGUCUGAGCUGUGAAUCAACUGAACACACUGAAUGUCUACUGAACUGUGAGUAUGGUGUUUUGUGUGGAUUUAUGGUGGUUUCACCCUGCUUGAAAUAGUAUGAAACUGCAUUUGAAUAUGGUGGCCUUGUACCCUGCAUGAAAUGGUAUGAAACUGCAUUUGAAUUUGGUGGCCUUGCACCCUGCUUGAAGUGGUAUGAAACUGCAAAUUUGGUGGCCUUGCACCCUGCUUCAAGUGGUAUGAAACGGCACUUGAAUUCGGUGGCCUUGCACCCUGUUUGAAGUGGUCGGAAACUGCACUUGAAUUCGGUGGCCUUGCACCG